GACGAACGCUGGCGGCGUGCUUAACACAUGCAAGUCGAACGGAGGUUAAUGAGAAGUUUACUUUUAUUAACCUAAGUGGCGGACGGGUGAGUAACGCGUGGAUAACCUACCCCUUAGCCUGGGAUAACGCCGGGAAACUGGUGCUAAUACCGGAUACGUUCAUUUGACUGCCUAGUCAGAUGAAGAAAGGUGCAAACCGCUACAGGAUGGGUCCGCGUCCCAUUAGCUAGUUGGUAGAGUAACAGCCUACCAAGGCAUCGAUGGGUAGCCGGCCUGAGAGGGCGACCGGCCACACUGGAACUGAGAAACGGUCCAGACUCCUACGGGAGGCAG
rnacentral:rRNA from 1 species